rnacentral:rRNA from 1 species
UGGCGGACGGGGGAGUAACGCGUGGGUAACCUGCCUUGUACUGGGGGACAACAGUUAGAAAUGACUGCUAAUACCGCAUAAGCGCACAGUAUCGCAUGAUACGGUGUGAAAAACUCCGGUGGUACAAGAUGGACCCGCGUCUGAUUAGCUAGUUGGUAAGGUAACGGCUUACCAAGGCGACGAUCAGUAGCCGACCUGAGAGGGUGACCGGCCACAUUGGGACUGAGACACGGCCCAA